UAGAAUCUGACACUUCGAUAUUGAUCCUUUAAGCUUUGAAUAUCACUGAUUAUCGCCCCUAUUUCUGAUUUGUCACGACUUGUAUUUUGGCAUUUUAUAAUCACUGUUCUUGAGUCUCCGAUAAUAUCUAAGGUAUGAAAACCCAACUGAAUCCCUAACCUAGCUGCUUGAAGACCUGCCACUGCUUCCGCCGCAAAUGGAGAUGCGAUAUCUUCAUGAAGGGUCGACUUUGCUGCAACGAUCCUACCCUCCUCAUUACAAACAACAAGGCCUGGCGCAGAUCUGGAGUUCUUUAAGUCGAAGGCCGCAUCAAAAAGAUGGCAUUUUUCCUUCUUUGUGAACUUUGUCUAGGUCUCGCGCUAGUUCCCUCGAUAAGUUCUCUUUCUCUACUCCCUUCCAGCUCUAGAAUAUAGCUUUGUAUUUGUUUGGAGAUAUCCCAACUAGUGAUUGAUCUGUUUUCAUAUAAUAAUUUAUUCCUAUUUGUCCAGAUUAGCCAGAGCCCGCAACAGAAACUCAUGCACUGUUCAUUUGUCCCUUGGCUGAAAACCCAGGACACAGAUAGAAAACAUGGAAACUAUCUUCUCCUUCCUGACCGCAUCUCGAGCAUCGAUCCUCAACCAUCACUAUCCGCAUCUUCAGAUUAGAAAAAAUGGGAAUGUAGUUCCACGCUAUUCUCCAUAUUGUAAUCAUGAUUUUUGAGGGUAAAUGUAGAUUCCAUAGUUUUCGAAAAAAAAAUUGUAUCGGUCUAUAAAUAAACAUUAGGAUCAAUUGUAGCUUUCUGUAAUAGUUUAUAGGCGCUCUUUACGGAAAAGUCACCAGUUGCCUCCCCUCUCCACACUUGAAUGUCUUCUUGGAUUGACUUUGACAUGGGAUUUGUAGUAUUUUCCUAGCGAUAUCCGAGCUAAAGCCAUUUUCGGCACCCAUAUAUCAUCCCAUACUGAAAUGUGGUCUCAUUUACCAACCCUCCAACAUAAUUCGUCUGUCAGGAGUUUUUUUGACGACCAUAUACUCCUCCAGGUAAGUAAAGGUGAGUUACUCAGAGGAGCGUUCAAGAAAUUUGAUUCUGGAAAAUAUUUCGCCUUUAAAACUCGGGCUAAUAACAAACUCGGAUAAUUAAGAAGUCGCCACCCUUGUUUUGCCAGUAAAGCUAUAUUAAAUUUAUCAAGGCUUCUAAAACCUAACCCACCCAAUUCUUUUUCAAUGCAAAUAUCCUUCUAGGAGCACCAAUGGAUCCCUUUUUUUCCCCUUAUUUUUCUGCCACCAAAAUUUAGCAAUAAUACCCUCUAACUCCUUGUAAAAAGAUUUAGGAAGUAAAAAACACAUCAUCGAGUAGGUUGGUAUAGAUUGUAAAACAGCUUUGAUGAAGACCUCUUUACCUCCUUGUGAUAGAUAUUUGAUACUCCAAUUGUCAAUUCGUUGCUUGAAUCUAUCCUUUAGCAUCUGAAAUGCUAUCUUCUUCUUUCUACCCACCAGGCUAGGUAACCCUAAAUAUCUUUCCAUAUCAUCUGAACUUCGUACCCCAAGAAUCCGAGUAAUUGUUCUUCUUUCUCCUUCUUGAGUGUUUCUGCUGAAAAAGAUUGUAGAUUUUGAAAAGUUAACUUUCUGACCCGAGCAAAAUUCGUAUUCACGGAGGACCUGUUUCAAAAAAAUUGAACCCCUCUCAGAAGCUUCCCCAAACAGUAUGCAAUCAUCUGCAAAAAGCAAAUGUG